rnacentral:sRNA from 1 species
CUUGGUCAUUUAGAGGAAGUAAAAGUCGUAACAAGGUUUCCGUAGGUGAACCUGCGGAAGGAUCAUUACCUAGAGUUUGUAGACUUCGGUCUGCUACCUCUUACCCAUGUCUUUUGAGUACCUUCGUUUCCUCGGCGGGUCCGCCCGCCGAUUGGACAACAUUCAAACCCUUUGCAGUUGCAAUCAGCGUCUGAAAAAACAUAAUAGUUACAACUUUCAACAACGGAUCUCUUGGUUCUGGCAUCGAUGAAGAACGCAGCGAAAUGCGAUAAGUAGUGUGAAUUGCAGAAUUCAGUGAAUCAUCGAAUCUUUGAACGCACAUUGCGCCCCUUGGUAUUCCAUGGGGCAUGCCUGUUCGAGCGUCAUUUGUACCUUCAAGCUCUGCUUGGUGUUGGGUGUUUGUCUCGCCUCUGCGUGUAGACUCGCCUUAAAACAAUUGGCAGCCGGCGUAUUGAUUUCGGAGCGCAGUACAUCUCGCGCUUUGCACUCACAACGACGACGUCCAAAAGUACAUUUUUACACUCUUGACCUCGGAUCAGGUAGGGAUACCCGCUGAACUUAAGCAUAUCAAUAAGCGGAGGAAAAGAAACCAACAGGGAUUGCCCUAGUAACGGCGAGUGAAGCGGCAACAGCUCAAAUUUGAAAUCUGGCGUCUUUGGCGUCCGAGUUGUAAUUUGAAGAUGGCUACUUUGGUAAUGGCUCUGUCUAUGUUCCUUGGAACAGGACGUCACAGAGGGUGAGAAUCCCGUGCGAUGAGAUGUCCAUUACCGUGUAAAGUGCUUUCGAAGAGUCGAGUUGUUUGGGAAU